UGCAGAUUGAAAGUUUGGAGGCAUUAUGGAUAUGCAUUUUGCUACCUUGUUUGUCGGGAGGGGGUGGAAUGCCAUGUCUGUUGUUUGUGUCCUGUUCUUUGCCUCACCAGCUUAGCAUGCCUUCUGCUAGUCCGGAGGGUGAGAAAGCCAGAGUUCUGCAUUUUGGAGUGCACGGUUCUGCUUAGAAUCCAUCUGCUCUAAGCUAUGCAGAAUCUCAGUACUGAGUGACCAGUAGGUGUUUUGAGGAGAUGUUGAUGCGGCUGCUAAGGAAUGUGCCAGGGAGGCUGGAUGUGGAAACCACAGUCAGGGAACCAGCUAAGAGGGGAGAGUAGUCAUGAACAACCAGAUGCAUGCAUUCAUUUUCAUCGAACAAGAUGAUUGGCUUAUGCUCCUUGGGGUUAUGUUUCAGCUGACUCUUGGAUCGGAUAGAUGACUGAGGGUUAGGUGACUGGAGUAGUGCUCAGAUCUGGUCUGUUGACGAUUCUGCAAGAGUGAAGACCUUAACUUUUUCAUAACUUCCGGAAGAAUUUGUCAAUGGAAGCUUGCUGCAAUGUCAGAUCUCUGG